GCAUAUUCACAUAUGAAAGAACCAGCACGAAUGGGAUCCCACGACCGUAAACCCCAACCACGGUUCGCCGUCUUAAACACCUCCAUCCGGAACUUAAGUCCUGUCUGAAUCACUUUGUUUUUGCAACCGGCGUUACACGGACAGGUUGAACCACAUUCAUAUACCAUUGGCCUCCUGGAAACAAGCAUAACGCCGUUAAGGUAAGGAAGAUCGCCACCGUUCAUUCUGAUGCAAGAGCAGUUUAGAUCUCCCGGCGCACACGAGCCACGGCAGGAGCAACCAGUUGCUGUGUUCUGCUGGGUUAUUCUAAAGGCUUCAGAGUGUUUGAGAGUGGAGAUGUAAGUAAAAUAAGAAGGCCCCUUCUCAUCAUCAAAGUCAUUCACAAGGGAAACAGGUUUGCUCUCAACACCUGAAGUGAUAUCCGGAAGUAUAAGUCCUCUUCUUGGAGUCAUCAAACCUUCUUUCCACUUAUGAACAGCUUUCCAGAACCCAAAAGCAGGUGGCUGACCUGGCACUCUCACCAAUCUAUACUUAAACGUGUUGCAGCCAGACUUGCCUUUCUCCACCCAUGACUCCGAGAUUGUAUAAAGCCCAUCGUAAAUAUAGAUCUUCCCCGUUUUACUAGCUGGAUCCUCUUCUCCUCUGAUAACUCUAACUCCAUUCCCUUUCCUCAAGCUUCUCUCUAACGCAAGAUUCCCUCUCUCAAGCUUCUGAUCAGACGCUUGUUUGUUCUUGUCUGCAUUCCCUCCUUGUCCGCUGUAGAUUAAAGACUCAGGAUCCUGGGCCUCGCCGUCAUAGCGUCCGGCUGAAACAAUGCUGGUAGCUAGAGGCUCCUCAUCUGCACCUGCUGCUUUGCUCGUUAUGUAGUCAAUGCCGGCCAUUGUCUGCAUGUGGAGACCCACUAAGCACAUCUCUAUCCGUGAAAAGAAGAUAUCUCCAACUUCGAUUCCUGGAACCGUUCCAACUCUCUUUUUCAUGUUUGUCCUCACCCCGUUGCUCAUCAAAGAGCCUGCUGCUUUAGCGGUCGCGGCCUUUGCGUACUCCACUUGACUGAGACGCCUCCUAACAGCAUCAAAACGCAUCAGCACGGUGCUUACUAAGUCCACAUUGCCGUCUUCUCGCUCUGCUGCACUGAUCCCGCUGUCGAAAACUCCACUGAAACGCUUCACAACCUGAACAUCCAAAGUAGGCUCUUGGGGGACUGUCUUGUCUUUUUUCUUGGCGUUGCCGCUUCCCUUAGGACGACCUCUUUUAGCUCCGGUUGAGCUGCUAGGGCCGUUUGAUGCAGUGGUAGUGGGAGAUCUGUAUGAUUGAAGAGGUGGAACAAACGAUGGAGGAGGUGUGUACUGAGUCUGGUUGAGAUCUGGAGUGUCUUGUGUAGGUGGUUGUGAUCCAAAUGGGAAGAAAGGUGAGUAGCCUGUAGAAGAAGGGCCAAAAGGUGGAACUCCAACAAAGGGUGGACCUUGAUUGCCAUUUGGAAAAACAGGUUUUAGACUUCUCAGUGGUUUAACAUCUAGCACUAUAGACUUGUCAUAAUGGUUAGGAUUUGGAACUCCUUCCAUUGCUAAAACUCCUGUCAAAAAUGAGACCAACAUUUGGGUUAAAGAGCAUUGACAAAGCUUAGAUUAUUAUUAGCAUAUGAAUAAAGUAUGAUGAAAUAAAUAUCACAGCAUUUUACUGCAUAGCCCCUCUAGAACAACACCUUGCAGUGACCUUGUGGGUUAUAUAUACUCUUUGCAGUACUAAAAGCAGAAAAAAAAAAGUUAUAAGGAAAUGCAAAAGAAUCCAUUUAAGAGCAACCUUAGGUUCAAUAAAAGUCCCUAGAAGAAUCGAAAACCCAAAAAAAUGCAAACUUUGCUAUAUUUUGUAGACCGAGCAGCUAUGGUUCAUGAACCGAGCUACAUUUCCAAAACUCUUAGCACUGAUCAGGAGCGGUGCUGGGAGAUUAAACUCCUCAGAGAGUUCAUCUGAAGGAUCCUCAUCUACUAACGCAGGCUCAUAGUUCCAUUUAAACGAGUUAUAAACACGCGAUGUGUCAAAGACAUACUCAUCCUCUUCUUGGUCCAUUCUAAGUGUUUCUUGGUCUUUGACCUCACCAGCAUAUUCACAUAUGAAAGAACCAGCACGAAUGGGAUCCCACGACCGUAAACCCCAACCACGGUUCGCCGUCUUAAACACCUCCAUCCGGAACUUAAGUCCUGUCUGAAUCACUUUGUUUUUGCAACCGGCGUUACACGGACAGGUUGAACCACAUUCAUAUACCAUUGGCCUCCUGGAAACAAGCAUAACGCCGUUAAGGUAAGGAAGAUCGCCACCGUUCAUUCUGAUGCAAGAGCAGUUUAGAUCUCCCGGCGCACACGAGCCACGGCAGGAGCAACCAGUUGCUGUGUUCUGCUGGGUUAUUCUAAAGGCUUCAGAGUGUUUGAGAGUGGAGAUGUAAGUAAAAU
rnacentral:lncRNA from 1 species